UACGGGGGGAGCAAGCGUUGUUCGGAUUACUGGGCGUAAAGGGCGCGUAGGCGGUCAGCACAAGUCAGUUGUGAAAUCUCCGGGCUUAACUCGGAAAGGUCAACUGAUACUGCGGGGCUAGAGUGCGGAAGGGGCAACUGGAAUUCUCGGUGUAGCGGUGAAAUGCGUAGAUAUCGAGAGGAACACCUGCGGCGAAGGCGGGUUGCUGGGCCGACACUGACGCUGAUGCGCGAAAGCCAGGGGAGCGAAGCGGG
rnacentral:rRNA from 1 species